rnacentral:rRNA from 1 species
AACGAACGCUGGCGGCAGGCUUAACACAUGCAAGUCGAACGCACCUUUCGGGGUGAGUGGCAGACGGGUGAGUAACGCGUGGGAAUCUACCCUUCUCUACGGGAUAGCUCCGGGAAACUGGAAUUAAUACCGUAUACGUCCUGAGGGAGAAAGAUUUAUCGGGGAAGGAUGAGCCCGCGUUGGAUUAGCUAGUUGGUGGGGUAAAGGCCUACCAAGGCGACGAUCCAUAGCUGGUCUAAGAGGAUGAUCAGCCACAUUGGGACUGAGACACGGCCCAAACUCCUACGGGAGGCAGCAGUGGGGAAUAUUGGACAAUGGGCGCAAGCCUGAUCCAGCCAUGCCGCGUGAGUGAUGAAGGCCCUAGGGUUGUAAAGCUCUUUCAGUGGUGACGAUAAUGACGGUACCCACAGAAGAAGCCCCGGCUAACUUCGU